rnacentral:lncRNA from 1 species
CUAAGAGGUUUGGCGAGAGGAAUGCUUACUUGUAUCUGAUAAGCUGCAUAGAAAUUCCUCUGUUGCUCAGUUGAACGGCAUCAGGUAGCACUCAGGCCAAUGGAUUUGACCUCCAGAAAUUGCACGAUUGUCUAAAAAAACAGGAGAUGAUUAUUACCAUCAUUAUUAAUAUUUCAUGACCCUGAAAGGCAGGUGCUGAGUCUUUUCUGAAAAGCUCUGCUAGGCUUCCAACAGCUUUCGAGAUGAACUGGGUUGGCGAUUGGGCGAUUUGUCAUUUGUCGAAGAUCCCGGGCUGAGCAGGGAGUGUGGCACGACAUUGGCCAUCACUAGCAACUUGGCACCCUCCUAGUUGGUGCAUCUGGAGGACUGUUUGCGCAGCACGAUGCUGAGCCUAAGCAUAGCGUCGGACCUGGAUUUAUGAGUUGCCCCUCGGCGUAAGGAGCUAUGCGGCUCUGAGGAUUGAGCGAGCCGGAGCAGCUCUCCAGCCCCGCCUGCAGCAGUGUGGACAGGAGCUAAGAUGAAGGAGGUAGCAUGUCUGGAGGAACGUUGCUGGCUGAUCUCUUAGGUCAGGGGAAAAGUGUGACUUUGCCAAAUUCGCAAAGCGCCGCGGACGUGGCUGGCCUGGCAAUGACUCAGGGGUGAGUAGCUGCAAGAACCUCCAAGGCCAGACUUUGGAGGCGUUUUGCUAUCUAAAGAAAGCAGUAAGGUGUUAAAUGCUGAAGAGCUUUAAAAACCUAUGUGCCGGUCUUCCUUACCAGCACCUGUGGCUGCUGGGGAGUGUGUAAGUUUGAAGGGAUUCAAUCAGUCACAAGUGGAUAAUUUUGUGUUUUC